rnacentral:rRNA from 1 species
UGGGGAAUCUUGGACAAUGGGCGGAAGCCUGAUCCAGCCAUGCCGCGUGAGCGAUGAAGGCCUUAGGGUUGUAAAGCUCUUUCAGCGGGGACGAUAAUGACGGUACCCGCAGAAGAAGCCCCGGCUAACUCCGUGCCAGCAGCCGCGGUAAUACGGAGGGGGCUAGCGUUGUUCGGAAUUACUGGGCGUAAAGCGCACGUAGGCGGACCAGUCAGUCAGGGGUGAAAUCCCGGGGCUCAACCCCGGAACUGCCUUUGAUACUGCUGGUCUCGAGGACGGGAGAGGCGAGUGGAAUUCCGAGUGUAGAGGUGAAAUUCGUAGAUAUUCGGAGGAACACCAGUGGCGAAGGCGGCUCGCUGGCCCGUUUCUGACGCUGAGGUGCGAAAGCGUGGGGAGCAAACAGGAUUAGAUACCCGUGUAGUCC